AUCGAACGCUGGCGGCAGGCCUAACACAUGCAAGUCGAGCGGAUGAAGGGAGCUUGCUCCUGGAUUCAGCGGCGGACGGGUGAGUAAUGCCUAGGAAUCUGCCUGGUAGUGGGGGAUAACGUCCGGAAACGGGCGCUAAUACCGCAUACGUCCUGAGGGAGAAAGUGGGGGAUCUUCGGACCUCACGCUAUCAGAUGAGCCUAGGUCGGAUUAGCUAGUUGGUGGGGUAAAGGCCUACCAAGGCGACGAUCCGUAACUGGUCUGAGAGGAUGAUCAGUCACACUGGAACUGAGACACGGUCCAGACUCCUACGGGAGGCAGCAGUGGGGAAUAUUGGACAAUGGGCGAAAGCCUGAUCCAGCCAUGCCGCGUGUGUGAAGAAGGUCUUCGGAUUGUAAAGCACUUUAAGUUGGGAGGAAGGGCAGUAAGUUAAUACCUUGCUGUUUUGACGUUACCAACAGAAUAAGCACCGGCUAACUUCAUG
rnacentral:rRNA from 1 species